rnacentral:rRNA from 1 species
AUACGUAGGGGACGAGCGUUGUCCGGAAUUACUGGGCGUAAAGGGCGCGUAGGCGGCGCUUCAAGUCGUCUGUCAAAUGGGAGGGCUUAACCCUUUUUCGCAGACGAAACUGGAGAGCUUGAGAAGCAGAGAGGCAAACAGAAUUCCUGGUGUAGCGGUGAAAUGCGUAGAUAUCAGGAAGAAUACCAGUGGCGAAGGCGGUUUGCUGGCUGCAUACUGACGCUGAAGCGCGAAAGCCAGGGGAGCAAACGGGAUUAGAUACCCCGGUAGUCCUGGCAGUAAACGAUGUAUGCUGGGUGUGAGACUAGCGAUAGUUUCGUGCCGAAGUUAACGCGAUAAGCAUACCGCCUGGGGAGUACGGUCGCAAGGUUGAAACUCAAAUGAAUUGACGGGG